rnacentral:misc_RNA from 1 species
ACGCGCCGUGAGGGCCGCCCCCCUUUUACCGGGGCCGGGCGGCUCCUUACCUGGCCCAUCCGUGUCUACCGUACCUGUUGCUUCGGCGGGCCUGCGAGCCUACUCGCUGCCGGGGAGCCCUGGCUCCCGGGCUCGUGUCCGCCGAAGACCCUUUAAACUCUGGUUAAAGAUUGCUGUCUGAGUGACCUGUAAAUCGUUA